rnacentral:misc_RNA from 1 species
GAAAUGCGAUAAGUAGUGUGAAUUGCAGAAUUCAGUGAAUCAUCGAAUCUUUGAACGCACAUUGCGCCCCUUGGUAUUCCAUGGGGCAUGCCUGUUCGAGCGUCAUUUGUACCCUCAAGCUCUGCUUGGUGUUGGGGGUUUGUCCCGUCUCCGCGCGUGGACUCGCCCCAAAGUGAUUGGCAGCCGGCGUACUGGUCCCGGAGCGCAGCACAUGUCGCGCAAACGAGUGCCUUGGUACGGCGGCGUCCAUAAGCCCCUCUCUCACGCUCUUGACCUCGGAUCAGGUAGGGAUACCCGCUGAACUUAAGC